rnacentral:rRNA from 1 species
CCUACGGGUGGCUGCAGUGGGGAAUAUUGGACAAUGGGGGCAACCCUGAUCCAGCCAUGCCGCGUGUGUGAAGAAGGCCCUCGGGUUGUAAAGCACUUUCAGUGAGGAAGAACGCCUGGUGGUUAAUACCCAUCAGGAAAGACAUCACUCACAGAAGAAGCACCGGCUAACUCCGUGCCAGCAGCCGCGGUAAUACGGAGGGUGCGAGCGUUAAUCGGAAUUACUGGGCGUAAAGCGCGCGUAGGUGGCUUGAUAAGCCGGUUGUGAAAGCCCCGGGCUCAACCUGGGAACGGCAUCCGGAACUGUCAAGCUAGAGUGCAGGAGAGGAAGGUAGAAUUCCCGGUGUAGCGGUGAAAUGCGUAGAGAUCGGGAGGAAUACCAGUGGCGAAGGCGGCCUUCUGGACUGACACUGACACUGAGGUGCGAAAGCGUGGGUAGCAAACAGGAUUAGAUACCCAAGUAGUC